CUCCCCGACACAAACAGGCUCCCAGUGGCCGGAAAAACAAAUCUCUCACAGCUUGAAUUUUCCUCCGGCAGAAUGCCCUGGAGUUCUGAGCUUGGGUGAUGAUUCUAUUUCUGUGCCUUAACUCUCUUGAGCCAGAACAAAGACAAAUCCCGGAUUUCUCCAUCAGUCUGUGACCCUAGAGAAGACCCAGAGCUGGCUCCAGGGAAGGGCUGCGUUUGGCCUGGGAGAGGAACGAAGUUUGAGGGGACACUUGCUUUUUCCCCAAGCUUCACCUGUAGUGGAAGCCUGUUUAAAAAGUGACAGCAAAAUCCAGACUGUGUGUGGACAGCGAGUCUGCAAAUGGAGGCUUAAAAGAUGCGGAAGCCCCAAGUUAGUUCUGGGGGUCUAGAUCCUGGCUCUCCGGCAGCCCCUUAAGUUUUCCAUGAUGCUAAUUGCCCUUCUGAGUAUCGCUGGCCCUUUUUUUUUUGCCUGAUUUUACAUCUCCUGUGCCUAAAUCCAUACUUAUAAAAAUUGUCAUGUAAACAUCAUUUUAGAUAAUGAUGGUUUUAGCUACAUGAAAACUAAGGAGGCUUUCCAGGAUUUAUUUCUAGACUGGAGAAGAACUGUGUCUGCCUUCCCCUCUGGAUCCCACUGAACCUCCGGAAUUUCCAUGGUUAACAAGAUAAACUGAUCCCUGCUAACCCUGGAGCUGGCUGGAGCAUCAGUUGCUGCCAUGGCAACUUGACGAAAUAAAUACAGGGCUUUUUAACGUCUUCAGGCAGAAUCUGCCCAGAGACCAGGUUCCUAUUUUUCCUUUUUUGUUUACAAUUCACAUUCCACUCGGUCAAUGUAUUCUCCUUGACACAUUUUUGACACUG
rnacentral:lncRNA from 1 species